UUCUCUUUCUUUAGCCUUGUGU
rnacentral:miRNA from 1 species